rnacentral:lncRNA from 1 species
AACAUCGGAGCAGAAUGAUUCAAAGGUUAGGUGGAUAAUUUAGAACUUAAUUUCAACCUGUUAAAUUUCAAUUUCUGGAGUUUUGGUUUUUUUUUUAAGGAAAAAAAUGAAGACUGUAUAUUUGAUGUCUCACAAACAUCAUAAGCCUGAGAAAAAAAUUCAAAAUACGAAUUUUGCAUGAGGACUGUGCAUAAGGAUAUCUAUUCCCUGUGUGGAAAAAAAGAUGAACAAAACCUGUGCAAGGACCCUCUUUCACCGUUACAUUUAGUGGGUUAGCAUAGUCCAACUAGUGCCCCAAACCUGCUUUCUCUUCUCCUGUUUGGGUCAGUGCGGGAGCUGCCUUCCUUCCUGGGAUUUGGCAGGUCAGCUUUUCCUCUCAUCUGUACAAUAUGCCAAAUUAACUGGAGUUGUCAUUCUAAUGUCUUAAAUUGUAGGAGGCUGAUGGUAACAAUGAACUAAUACAAAAUGCUAAUGUCA